AGACUUUCGGCCGCCGAAGGUAAUGUUCGGCCGCCGAAAGUGCCUGACUUUCGUCUCUGGAGAGAAGGUUCGGCCGCCGAAGGUGCCGCCGAAAGUGCCUGACUUUCGGGUCUGUCUGGACUUUCGGCCGCCGAAGGUGCCGCCGAAAGUGCCCUGCCCAGCCUUUUCUUGGGUGUUUUCUAUGCAUGCUUCUAUGAUGUUUUAGAGGGUUUUUGGGGAGUAUAUUAGAGUUAUGUUUAUGUAUGUUUGGCACCUCACUGGAGUCCACCUGUGUAGGAUCGGACCCGAGGAACCGAGGUGUUUAGUAGUGUCAGCCGUUUCAGAGUCGGCCCUGAGCUAGUCACAGGUGAGUGGAACACAACUCUCUUAUUUUAAAGUAAAUAAAUUAAAUGUUUUAGAGCAUGAUCCAUGCAUCAUAUAAUGCCAUGAUAUGUAUUAGGUUGUUUUGCAUUAGAACCCACGAAUAUGAUGCAUUGCAUAUUAUGUUGUUGAUGUGGAUGGAUUUUGGAUGAUCCUUAGCCCUCAGUAUGAGAUGAGAUAAUAUGAUAUGAUAUGCCAUGGUAUGAUAUGAGAUGAAAAGACCAGGUCGCCCCUGGUACUAUGUUUUUGUAAGCGAACACUAGGUGAGGCCUAAUCGCCCCUGGUGCAGUCGGACAUGUUAUGAUAUGAAUUAUGUAAGCGAACACUAGGUGAGGCCUAAUCGCCCCUGGUGCAGUUGGACAUGUUAUGAUAUGCAGAGGGCUAGUGGUGACAAAUUCAUCCUUUAUGUGAUUAGCUGUGAUGUGUUGCAUUUCAUGAAAGCAUGAUUGAGAAAAAGUUAAAUGAUUUGAUAAAUAAAAUGAAUAAUAACAUACCUAAAAAGUGUGGAAUUAAAGCAAAUGUUUUUAGUUUCUGCUCACUGGGCUUUUUAGCUCACCCCUCUCCCCUAUCCCCAGGUUUACAGGUUCAGAGAUAGUCAGGAGAUCAGCUGGAUACGUCCAUGGUCGUGCUUAUGUAAUAGAAUAGUUGUGGACAUGAUGUAAUCUAAGUUUAUGUAUUGAUGUAAAAAGAGUUGUAUUGUAAUAUGACCUUAUGUUAUAUGUUCAGAGUUAUAGUAUUGUGCUUGGCCCGAGUUGGAUAAUCCCCUUGUACAUGAGUUUUAUUUUAUAUUGUUUCAUGUGAUGGACCGAGUUUGACAUAGGGUAUGCUGACCUUAGAGGUUCUAUGAGUUCAGUCAUAGUGCAUACACAGGUCAAACGGGUUAAAGAAAAAGUUUACAGUUUUAUGUUUUAAAGUUUAUGCUUAUGUUGGAUCAUGUUUGGGAUUAUACCAGCUGUACAGGAUG
rnacentral:lncRNA from 1 species